CCUACGGGAGGCAGCAGUGAGGAAUAUUGGUCAAUGGACGAGAGUCUGAACCAGCCAAGUAGCGUGAAGGAUGACUGCCCUAUGGGUUGUAAACUUCUGUUAUAGGGGAAUAAAAUGUGCCACGUGAGGGAUUUUGUAUGUACCAUAUGAAUAAGGAUCGGCUAACUCCGUGCCAGCAGCCGCGGUAAUACGGAGGAGCCGAUCGUUAUCCGGAUGUAGGGGGGUUAAAGGGAGGGUAGGGGGCUUGUUAAGUCAGUUGGGCCAGUUUGCGGCUCAACCGUCAAAUUGCAGUUGAAACGGGCAGUCUUGCGUACAGUCGCGGUUGGCGUCCUUCGUGUUGUAGCG
rnacentral:rRNA from 1 species